UUUGCAUUAAAAUGCCUGGACAUGCUAUAAUGCACAUUAUAUGUUGUAGAAAUUCUUCAUGCCUCAAUAUUACGCUGUCUGCUUAAGGGAUCGCAGACGGAUGGUACAAGACUGGAACUGAAAAACCGAGGGAGAUUCGAGGUGAUGUUGCCGUUCUUCAAAAAAGACAAUCUUGCAGUCCACAGGUCAGAGGUCAGCAACACUUGCAUUUAGAAUAAAUGAAUGUUUGUCCAUUUUUUUAAAUAAUUAAAUUUUUUUGUAAAGGUGUACACUGUUCACAAUUGCACAUGAAGCCAUCCAGCGAUGAUCGCUUGGGUAUUAACGUCAGUACUGCUAAAAAUAAUAACUCUGCACUUAAACACGGCAACUUAAAUAGUGGUAAUAAUACUCCAGAACGGCUCCGUGGUGUAACCUUACGUCUGUGAUCAUGAUCACAACCAUUUUACAUGCCAACACCACUGCAAUUAUGUUUAUUAAAACUAAUAUUGCUACAUCUCUACAAUCACUUUUAUGUUGAAAUAUAUACAGUAUUAUUACAGUUCUGGAUCGCUGGAACAGCUGUUGUUGCCACCGAUUCUUAAGCUUUUGUAGCACUGCUAAUUAUUAUUUAUUUUUACAUUUUAAUAUACUAAGCCAGUACAUAUUUGUGUGUUUUUUACUGUUUAAGUAAUAACUGUUUAUUAAGCUAAUUCUUAUUAUAAUGUUUGAAAUAAAAUAGAAACAAUUUGCUGAUUCAUUUUUUUGCUGUUCUUACAUAAUCAUGCAAAUAAAGGACAAUGGACAAA